rnacentral:rRNA from 1 species
AUUGAACGCUGGCGGCAGGCCUAACACAUGCAAGUCGAGCGGAUGAAGGGAGCUUGCUCCUGGAUUCAGCGGCGGACGGGUGAGUAAUGCCUAGGAGUCUGCCUGGUAGUGGGGGAUAACGUCCGGAAACGGGCGCUAAUACCGCGUACGUCCUGAGGGAGAAAGUGGGGGAUCUUCGGACCUCACGCUAUCAGAUGAGCCUAGGUCGGAUUAGCUAGUUGGUGGGGUAAAGGCCUACCAAGGCGACGAUCCGUAACUGGUCUGAGAGGAUGAUCAGUCACACUGGAACGGAAACACGGUCCAUACUCCUACGGGAGGCAGCAGUGGGGAAUAUUGGACAAUGGGCGAAAGCCUGAUCCAGCCAUGCCGCGUGUGUGAAGAAGGUCUUCGGAUUGUAAAGCACUUUAAGUUGGGAGGAAGGGCAGUAAGUUAAUACCUUGCUGUUUUGACGUUACCAACAGAAUAAGCACCGGCUAACUUCGUG